UACGUAGGGGGCUAGCGUUGUCCGGAAUCAUUGGGCGUAAAGCGCGUGUAGGCGGUCCGGUAAGUCCGCUGUGAAAGUCGGGGGCUCAACCCUCGGAUGCCGGUGGAUACUGUCGGGCUUGAGUACGGAAGAGGCGAGUGGGAUUCCUGGUGUAGCGGUGAAAUGCGCAGAUAUCAGGAGGAACACCUGUGGUGUAGACAGCUUACUGGACCACUUCUGACGCUGAGACACGAAAGCGUGGGUAGCAAACAGG
rnacentral:rRNA from 1 species